UACGAAGGGGGCUAGCGUUGCUCGGAAUUACUGGGCGUAAAGGGUGUGUAGGCGGAUACUUAAGUCGGGGGUGUAAGCCCAGGGCUCAACCCUGGAAUAGCCUUCGAUACUGGGUAUCUUGAGUUCGGGAGAGGUAAGUGGAACUCCGAGUGUAGAGGUGAAAUUCGUAGAUAUUCGGAAGAACACCAGUGGCGAAGGCGACUUACUGGCCCGAUACUGACGCUGAAACCCGAAAGCGUGGGGAGCAAACAGG
rnacentral:rRNA from 1 species